GAAUAAAGCAUGAAACCGCUUGUCGCAGCAUUGCCGUUCGUGGUAAUUCGGUCUGGGAAGGCUGAACGGUUGCCCACUAAAUGGCAUCAUUUCUGCCAAAGAUGAUAUGUUUUCUGCCAACGCUAGUUUGGGUGUAGUUACACUUCCCACAAAUCCCGAUCUGCGCCUCACGUCACUGCAACUAUUACAUCAAUCAGGGUCAACCAGGUGUACCCACUCCAAGUUUUCGACCACCAACCAUUUCAUCGUUGCGAAAAGUAGCUGUUCUUGGCUCGGGGUAGAGAGCCGCUAGAACGGGGCUCUGGUUCAAGCUCGGAAAAAUUGGGCAUACUCCUGGUACAUCGAUAAAGAGAACAAGGCCUUGCCAUGUGAGUUUUAAGGAGGCCCGGCUAAGACUCAAAACUUCAUCCAUCAAUUGCAAAAAACAACGAUGCACCAGUAUCCAAGUCCCUGCGCCAACUCUUUGAAGCAACCUUCUGCC